CAUCCGCCAUCACCAGCUGUGAGAAAUGAACUUCAUUCGUUCCGCUUCCUGGAUCUGCAGCGCGCUGGCGACGCGAGCGGCGCGUUUCCGGGGUUCGGCCACUGCAGACCACACACUUUAUCAAUGGCUGGAGGAGGAGAGAAGAGGCUCAAGGGAAUGCUCUGCAGCCAUAUGUCCUCCUUACUGGCCCCCAUUAGACCUGACAGGUGAUAUAUGGUGCACACAGGAAAAACAAACUACUCAGCAAAAGCCGGCAGACAUUGAUAAACGAAGGCAUGGUGACACAGAUACUGUGGGCUCAUCGUGGCCGAGCUUGGGGAUUUCUCCUGCAAAAUGCCACUUCAAUUUCUGUCCACAGUAUCCAACCCAAUUAGGGCAGAAGAUUCACAAUGUAGUGUCUAUUUAAACACACAUCAACAUCCCAAAGUCCACUUCCAAGAUGUUUGAUCUAUUUUAUCCCACUAGAUUAUUCCUUUCCAAGGUCAUUUGUAUGCAUGAAAUUAAAAUGAUCUCAAAAUAUAUCUCUCCCUCUCUGCUAGAAUCAUCCACCUUUUUAUCUUGAUCUUGGAGUGGUUAAAUAUCACAAAGACAUGUUCAGGUCACAUUUCAUACCUAUAAAUAAAUAAAUAUUCACAAUAUGCUGUGUAUACAGAAAAUUAGGCCUAGUUAAAGGAUCUAAUAUUAUUUAUAGAGUGACUUCAAGCACAUUUCAUCCCAAAUUCUAAUUGUUCUCAAUACAUUCUUAUUACUGUAAUACAAAAUAAAAAUGACAAAAUACAAUGAUUAAAACAAACAAAUAAAUAAAUAAAUAUAAUGAGUUCCCUUUAGAAUGGGAAUUCGCAUGGCGUCUGACAAGAUGUGACACUGUCAUUGGUCAAUGACAGUCUGUAAUGUCAGUACCAGGCCGACAGUCAGUUUAAAUGAGUGCGUGCAGCACGCAAUUAGCCUUUUUUUUUUUCAGAAAACAUGUAUGCGUGUGACAAACGCUACUGGUGGAGCACGUUCAACUUCUUGAGGAAGCUAAGUGCUAACUAUUGUAAUAAAAACUGCUAAGAAGCUUUUGUUCUUCCUUGAUUCUCACCCGAGGGAUAGUAGUCAGCAUUUGCACUUGCACGUUUGGUUCUCAAAGCGAUGUAUUCAUGGCAGCAGAUUCUGUUCUCGCCUUGUUUUUGGGAGAACCUAGCAAUUAAAUGGAGGGAAUUCGGCUCUCUCGAGAGAGAGUUGAAUGCAUGCUGUAUGAUGCGAUUGCUGUGAGAAGCUCCACCUAUGCUUAACUUUCUCUUGAGGGUUGAGACUUAAGCGCCUCCUUCCCAAAGUUCGAGUCCCACUGUCACCAGAGGAGAGAUAAAAAAACAGGGAUUGUAGGUGGAGCAGAGGAGGAGUAGGACGGGAAGUGCUUUCCCUUUCAGAACUCUUCCUGUUAACUUGAAUUCUUUCAUAUCGAUUUAUUAAAGAAGGAAAGAAACUUUGUAAUUUUGAAUAUCUAAUUCUGAGGCAUUAGAUGCAGAAAGAGUUGAAGCAUAUAUUAUUGAUAAAUUAGCCCCCUCUAUGAAAGUAAAAGAAACCGACUUGGGCAAGCUGCUGGAUCCAGAUGUUCUUUCUUUGACAUGCUCUACUGGCGUCAACCCAGAAGGAGCGGGAUGUGGCUGAGGAGGGCAAAGAAACAAUGGACUCCUCCCAACCAGCCCAUCCCGCUUAUAAGUAGCGGUUUCUGUCUGUACAAAACCACCCUGUUACCAUGAGUCUGAGUUGGAGAGAUCAUAAAAUAAACUAUAUUUGGCCCACAUUCAUUUGUUUCCUCGAACAGAAAUUAUAUGAAUGUACAAGGAAUAUUUGAGGACAGAUAUGAGUUAAUGCCCCCAAUUGAAGAUAAGUUUGCAAACUAUCUCUCAAUGGCAGAGGCAUCAUCAUUGAAGACUCAGACCCUGUCAUCCAAACCUUACCAUGUAACAUCCCGUGUGAAUUGCAACUGGUCAGACCAGUGGGGUCUUACACAUAAUGGCUGUGUUACAGGCAUACCAGGCUGAUCUGCUGAAAGAACUGGUUUAGGGUCCAGGUCUGACAGUGGCCGAGCUAUGCCACACCAAAGACCUCGCUCUCUGAGCCACUAAACAGACAGACAUAGAUGGUAGCGAUGGUGGCCAUGGAGAGACAUCUGUGGCUGAACCUGGCUGACAUUGAGAAGAAAGAGAAAAGCUUUCCUCUCAAUGCGCCAGUUUCUCGGCUUGAGCUUUUCAACACAUCCGUUGAGAUGGUGGUCAGUAAGUUCAGGGAGGCAAAGGUACAGUGUGUGGCCUUCAAAAGGUUUAUACUUUGGCAAUAAAGAUCUGCUCCUCAGGGCUCUGUAGGGCCUGGUUCAUCUAGGUCUGAGGACCAAAGACAGGACCAGAAGGUGAGCAUAGCAUCCUGCGCUCUUCCUCCUUCUAGGAGUAAGACACAGAGAAGUUGUGAUGUGAGGAAGAGUAAGCAAGAUAGGAGAGAGGAGAUUCAGUGGAAGAGAUUUGAAAAGUAACAUCGAGCAAUACCUUCCCUCCCUCUUCCCCCAGAAAUUGUUCACACACUUACAUCAGGCCCUGGAGUUGGACCGAUAAUUUUAAUGAUGUAAUUAAUUUAGCUAAAAACAUAUUCUCUCUUCUGAUAGGUCUGGCAGAUGACUUGACUCUGAGCGUUAAGUGCACAACCAGUCUUGUUGCUGUUUUUCUGUAGGAGUGAGGAUGUUCAUCGUUUCUCCACAUUUCCCUUCUCAUUUCUUCUCACUGGUGUCAAGUUAUAUUGCAUUUUGUUCAGGUUAGCUGCCUCCCCUACAGCCUGGGGUCCCCUAAGUAGGCUACUCCCUAAUAACAAGAUUGAAGCAGUUGGUUGAAGUUGCCUCCCUCACUGGGGUCCCCUGUGCAGGAAGCUCCCUGACAGCAAUUAAGCUGAAGCUGCCUCCCCCAGACAUUUGAGGUCUCUAAAGCAGGAAGUUCCUUCAUAGUAUUUCUCCUUCAUAGUAUUUGGGGUGAAGCUGCCUCCCCCUUUUUUCUAAGUAGAAAACUCCCUAAUAGUAAUAAAGUUGUAGCUGCC
ensembl:lncRNA